UAUGAGGAUGGUCAUCAGUGGGCAGGCAACGAAGGUCUCUGUAGCGGAACGGCCUCUCUCUCUCAACCGGCGCGGCGCUUGGGAUCGUUGGCGGCAUGUCGCGGCAGGUGGCGGCUAGGCGGUGGGUACCGCGACGCUUGAGACCGCCGCUCCCACGCCUGAAGCUCGCGGCGCCAGGCGGAGGUCCGCGGCCGGCAGCCGUAGAGGGGAGGCGGGCCGCCGGCGGGGUUGGAGGUGAGGCGGCGGCGGCGGUGGGCGGCGGAGAGGGGAGGCAGGCCGCCGGCAGGGGGGUAGUGGGAGUCGUCCUUAGACCCUUCAAGAGGUGCACUUCUACGACGAGCCUUCUACCACGAACUCUGACGACGGUGUGAACUUGUAGACCUCUUCUGAAUGCUUUGCAAGUUCCGUGCGCAACCUAAUGAUCUCUUCCGUCGGUGCAAAGACUUCACCAGCACCCGAACGUAAUAGGGACACGGAAACCAAAUGCGGUAACGCGUCGUAAUAAUCCUAUUUCUCCUUGACCGGGAACACUAAACUUGGCCCAAUAAAUUAUAGACACCAGAAAUAGUACUCUACAUGAGUAGUGUGAUGAGUUGACACAGUACCAAUACGAUUCACGUAGUAGUUUUUACGGUGAGAUUUUGCAAUGACAUGGUAUAACUGUCGGUCUAAACGGACUAUACACGGGAACGUGGGUGGACAAUAGUUGAGAAGAGAAGAUAAGAUAAACUGUUCCCCUGGGUGUUGCCGCCUAAUAGAAGCUGCGCACGAGCCAGGGACCUGCGUCGUGUUUUAGAUAAUGAACAAGCGUGAUCAUUCACACGUUCACUAAGGAUUUCGAGUCUCAAAGUUAGGCGUAUAUAGAUGUUAGUACGUACACGUUACUAAAACCUCAUGUAGGUACGCGAGAAGCUCAAAUUUAGAACUACCCUAGAUUACGAAGCGUUUGAACGGAUUUCGUAUUCUAAAUAGGAAA
rnacentral:rRNA from 1 species